rnacentral:rRNA from 1 species
UACAGAGGUCCCGAGCGUUGGUCGGAUUCACUGGGCGUAAAGGGUGCGCAGGUGGUUUGGCAAGUUUGAUGUGAAAGCCCCGGGCUUAACCCGGGAAUGGCAUUGAAUACUGCUUGAACUGGAGGGUUGGAGGGGGGACUGGAAUUCUUGGUGUAGCAGUGAAAUGCGUAGAUAUCAAGAGGAACACCAGUGGCGAAGGCGAGUCCCUGGACAAACCCUGACACUGAGGCACGAAAGCCAAGGGAGCAAACAGG